AGCAGCCGCGGUAAUUCCAGCUCCAAUAGCGUAUAUUAAAGUUGUUGCAGUUAAAAAGCUCGUAGUUGAAUUUCGGGAUCAAUAUGUUGGUCGUGCCUUGGUACGUACUGGCAUUAUUGGUUUUUACCUUCUGAAGAACCUCGAUGUCAUUAAUUUGGUGUCUUGGGGAAUCAGGACUGUUACUUUGAAAAAAUUAGAGUGUUUAAAGCAGGCUCGCGCUUGAAUACAUUAGCAUGGAAUAAUGAAAUAGGACGUUUGAUUCUAUUUUGUUGGUUUCUAGGAUUGACGUAAUGAUUAAUAGGGAUAGUUGGGGGCAUUAGUAUUCAAUUGUCAGAGGUGAAAUUCUUGGAUUUAUUGAAGACUAACUACUGCGAAAGCAUUUGCCAAGGAUGUUUUCAUUAAUCAAGAACGAAAGUUAGGGGAUCGAAGACGAUCAGAUACCGUCGUAGUCUUAACCAUAAACUAUGCCGACUAGGGAUCGGAUGAUGUUAAUUUUUUAAUGACUCAUUCGGCGCCUUAC
rnacentral:rRNA from 1 species